AUGAUUAGCAUGUCUAAACAUCAUACAAAAAAUGUACUACACAAAUUUUUAAACCUAAAAAUUCUAAAUACCCUAACAUCUUCAUUCCAUGUUCAUGUCAAGCACCCGUCUUCAAAUUCCCUCUCACUUAGCGCAAAAUACAGAUUGCUUUGCCUUGGUUAA